AGGGCUCUUGGUAGAGAUACUGAACUCCUGGUGGCCUGGGGCUGUAGCUGUGGGGCUGGAGUGAGGAAAAAUUUGAACAACUUGCAAAGCUGCCCCCAGUCUGAGGGCUGGAGCAAGAGGGAAAGGGAAAUUGAAGUAGAAAGAGAAAAACAGAAACCGAGUUGGGGUGCGGAGCUGGGAGAGAUGGGGGCAGAUCAGAAAAAAGAACAAAAAAGACAACUAGAAGGUGGCAGGAGGCAGAGAAAAGGGGCUGCAGUCAUGGAUUCCUUUGCCAGUGCCUCCAUCCACCAACCCUCUGACCUUAGAAAAGCCACGCUCCUUAACUGGGCCUCAGUUUACCCAUGUGCAAAAUGGGGAUGAUAAUUCUGACUCUGUCUUCCUCUUAGGACUGCUGUGAAGAGGAGAGUAGUGAGAGCAGAGGAGACCAUUUUGCAAGGAAUGAAAUGAAGUGUAAAUGUCCAUGUGAAGACCAAGACAUGGGGACUGGCUGGGCCGACACUCCCAGCCUCACCCAGCAGCCUUCCUGCCAACUGACAAGACUUGGACUGGUGCCCUGCCCCUCCAGGAAUACAUCCUCUCCUUGAUGACGGCAACACAGGAUCCAGUAGUGCCUCCCAUUAGUAGAACUGAACUGGAAGACAGAAGAAUAAGUAUUCUGCAGAGGUCAACCUCCUAGUGCACAGAGCAAGUAGAAAAGGAUGGACAAAGGAUCUGAAGGGGCAAGUGGAGAAUAAACAGCCCACAUGAUCUGCGCUGACGAGGGAAAAGGCAAAAGAGACAAACACAUUAAUAAUCUUCAAGCCAUAUCUAUUUUAGACUUUUAGUAGUUUCUCAUUAUCACUCUUAUAAAAAACAUUGUCUCAAAAGAGGACACCCCUCAAACUCUAAAUGUUCUAAUGAAAUUAAUAUAUAAUGGAAGGAAGUGCAGUAUCUCUCAGGGUCAGACUGUAUUAGUUAAGUCUCUUUUGGUUGUAUGUUACAAAACACUUCAACUAGUUUAAACUGAAAGAAAAAGAGAGAGAGAGAGAACAUCAAUUAUCAGGAUAAUUAGGAUACUGGGGAGUCUCCCAAGGCCCAGCGGACUUCAAGAGUAUAAGAAUGUCAGCUAUAAUUCAGCAGCUGUUUCCCCUAGGGUUGAGAUAGAGCAUCCAAGGCAGGGCCCCCUGAGCCCACCUCCGUGGCUGAGAUCCAGACCUUUUUGGAGAGGGUGUUCACUGGGUGGCAGAGAAGUCACCACAGUGCUGUGCUGGCAGAACAUGCUGGAAAUCCACCCUCUAGGGUGCUUGGGACGUUUUCACUGGAGUUACUCCUCUACAAAACCGCCUGUUGGGGAAGUGCCAGGGGAAGCUGCUGGCCUUUGGAUGAUUGCUGGCCACCAUGUCCUGAAGAGAUGGAUGCAAAAGAAACAAUAUGUCCUGUAGGAAACUGAUACUGGAGAAGUUACCUGCAUUGCAGAAUCUGGAUACUGAAAAAGUUGUCCAGGCCAUAGAAGCCAGGUGCCACAUGCUACAGGGGCCUGCUGAGCAGAGCACACUGGAAUCAGGAAGGAAAAUCCCUUCUACAAUAUCUUUCCAGUUCCCUCUACUGACAAAAUUUAACAUCUGUCAGCUGGCAAAGGAAAAUUUUGACAUGGUCCACUACAUUUUUGCAGAGCAGACAAUGAAGAUUGAAUUUGGAGUUGAGAGGCAAUAGAUUGAUAACUAGCACAAUCCCAACUCUUGUCUCUGGUAUGCCCUGAGAAGGGACAAUGAUGCCAGCUGGUGCCACCCAUGGACUGGUCAGUCAUCUGUGCUGAGGAUGGAGCUGCAUUAAUGAAAAGAGAAGCAGGGAGCAUGGAAAGGUAGGUGCAAGAAAGCAGACUGCUCACCAAGCAGCCUCUGAUUUCCAGGGGAGAGAAGGAAGCAUUUCAGUCACUGGAGAAAUUGCCGGUCAGGAUAAUUCAUCAAGACUCGCCAUGGUUUGAAAAAAUACCCAAGACUGUCCAUUUCCUUUUAUUCAAAUAUGCAGUUCAUCAAGAAACCUGAUUUUUCUUCCCAUAUAUCCAAUAUCUGCUGAGGAACAGAUCUUGGGUAGUGGGUACACACAGUCGGCUGUUUUGAAAGGGAUGUCAUCCACUGUGGCCUAAUAAAUUGGCCUUUGAUGGCUGCACCAGCCUUGUGUGGUAUUAGUGAAAGUCUGUCACCAAGAGUCUGCUCGUACCUGGAACACUGAGAAAAGCCAAGUUCUGACCCUGAGUUGCUGAAAACCAGGUUUUGGACAUGAGGGACUCAAUUAGAGUGCUCUCCUAAAGGACCUGUAGACUGCACCCUAGAUAAUAUUGCUGCUAGCCUAUUCCUCAAGGAAGAACCCUGCAGAGCACAUCAUUGGGCAUGGAUAAGUAGUAUUCUAUUAAUGUCUAACCAACAACCAUUCUUUAGCUGCUGGACUUUCAGGCUGUUUCCAUUCUUUCACUAUUGCAUAUAACACAGGCAUGAAAUGUUUGUGAUUAGUGUUCUUUUGCUAUUGUUUGUUUUUGUAUUUCAAAUGAUUCCUUUAGGAUAGAUGAUCAGAACUGAAAAUAAACUGAUGUCAAAUUACAACCUCUUCUCUUUUAGGUGGGAGAAAAGAGCAUAAACAUUGUAUAGACACUUGAGACCUGC